rnacentral:sRNA from 1 species
GUCAGGUGCACUGGCUCAUGCCUAUAGUCUCAGCUACUUGGGAGGCUGAGGCAGGAGGAUCACUUGAGCCCAGGAGUUCAGGGCCAGCCUGGCAACAUAGUGAGACCCAUCUCUC